UGGAUCCAGACUUUGAUAUGGCUCAGGACGAACGCUGGCGGCGUGCUUAACACAUGCAAGUCGAACGAGAAGAGAUGAGAAGCUUGCUUCUUAUCGAUUCGAGUGGCAAACGGGUGAGUAACGCGUAAGCAACCUGCCCUCUAGAUGGGGACAACAGCUGGAAACGGCUGCUAGUACCGAAUACGUUCUUUCUGUCGCAUGGCAGAAGGAAGAAAGGGAGGCUCUUCGGAGCUUUCGCUGGAGGAGGGGCUUGCGUCUGAUUAGCUAGUUGGAGGGGUAACGGCCCACCAAGGCGACGAUCAGUAGCCGGUCUGAGAGGAUGAACGGCCACAUUGGGACUGAGACACGGCCCAGACUCCUACGGGAGGCAGCAGUGGGGAAUCUUCCGCAAUGGACGAAAGUCUGACGGAGCAACGCCGCGUGAACGAUGACGGCCUUCGGGUUGUAAAGUUCUGUUAUACGGGACGAAUGGUACGACGGCCAAUACCCGUCGUAAGUGACGGUACCGUAAGAGAAAGCCACGGCUAACUACGUGCCAGCAGCCGCGGUAAUACGUAGGUGGCAAGCGUUGUCCGGAAUUAUUGGGCGUAAAGGGCGCGCAGGCGGCGUCGUAAGUCGGUCUUAAAAGUGCGGGGCUUAACCCCGUGAGGGGACCGAAACUGCGAUGCUAGAGUAUCGGAGAGGAAAGCGGAAUUCCUAGUGUAGCGGUGAAAUGCGUAGAUAUUAGGAGGAACACCAGUGGCGAAAGCGGCUUUCUGGACGACAACUGACGCUGAGGCGCGAAAGCCAGGGGAGCAAACGGGAUUAGACACCCCGGUAGUCCUGGCCGUAAACGAUGGAUACUAGGUGUAGGAGGUAUCGACCCCUUCUGUGCCGGAGUUAACGCAAUAAGUAUCCCGCCUGGGGAGUACGGCCGCAAGGCUGCAACUCAAAUGAAUUGACGGA
rnacentral:rRNA from 1 species